rnacentral:rRNA from 1 species
GCCAUGUACUUAUACUCGGGAGUCAGACUGCGAGUGAUAAGAUCCGUAGUCGAAAGGGAAACAGCCCAGACCACCAGUUAAGGUCCCCAAAUAUAUGUUAAGUGGAAAAGGAUGUGGGGUUGCUUAGACAACCAGGAUGUUGGCUUAGAAGCAGCCACCAUUGAAAGAGUGCGUAAUAGCUCACUGGUCGAGUGACCCCGCGCCGAAAAUGUACCGGGGCUAAACAUAUUACCGAAACUGUGGAUGAACCUCUUUAGAGGUUCGUGGUAGGAGAGCGUUCUAAGGGCGGUGAAGUCAGACCGGAAGGACUGGUGGAGCGCUUAGAAGUGAGAAUGCCGGUAUGAGUAGCGAAAGAAGGGUGAGAAUCCCUUCCACCGAAUAUCUAAGGUUUCCUGAGGAAGGCUCGUCCGCUCAGGGUUAGUCGGGACCUAAGCCGAGGCCGAUAGGCGUAGGCGAUGGACAACAGGUAGAGAUUCCUGUACCAGUGCUAAUUGUUUAACCGAUGGGGUGACACAGAAGGAUAGGGAAUCGCACGAAUGGAAAUGUGCGUCCAAGCAGUGAGUGUGAGAAGUAGGCAAAUCCGCUUCUCGCGAAGCAUGAGCUGUGAUGGGGAAGGAAAUUAAGUACGGAAGUUCCUGAUUUCACGCUGUCAAGAAAAGCCUCUAGGAAGAGUAGUACUGCCCGUACCGCAAACCGACACAGGUAGAUGAGGAGAGAAUCCUAAGGUGAGCGAGAGAACUCUCGUUAAGGAACUCGGCAAAAUGACCCCGUAACUUCGGGAGAAGGGGUGCUCUAUUAGGGUGCAAGCCCGAGAGAGCCGCAGUGAAUAGGCCCAGGCGACUGUUUAGCAAAAACACAGGUCUCUGCAAAACCGUAAGGUGACGUAUAGGGGCUGACGCCUGCCCGGUGCUGGAAGGUUAAGAGGAGUGCUUAGCUUCGGCGAAGGUACGAAUUGAAGCCCCAGUAAACGGCGGCCGUAACUAUAACGGUCCUAAGGUAGCGAAAUUCCUUGUCGGGUAAGUUCCGACCCGCACGAAAGGCGCAACGAUCUGGGCACUGUCUCAACGAGAGACUCGGUGAAAUUAUAGUACCUGUGAAGAUGCAGGUUACCCGCGACAGGACGGAAAGACCCCGUGGAGCUUUACUGCAACCUGAUAUGGAAUGUUUGUACCGCUUGUACAGGAUAGGUAGGAGCCGAAGAGACGUGUGCGCUAGCAUACGAGGAGGCAAUGGUGGGAUACUACCCUGGCUGUAUGACCAUUCUAACCCGCCACGCUUAGCGCGUGGGGAGACAGUGUCAGGUGGGCAGUUUGACUGGGGCGGUCGCCUCCUAAAGAGUAACGGAGGCGCCCAAAGGUUCCCUCAGAAUGGAUGGAAAUCAUUCGCAGAGUGUAAAGGCACAAGGGAGCUUGACUGCGAGACUGACAAGUCGAGCAGGGACGAAAGUCGGGCUUAGUGAUCCGGUGGUUCCGCAUGGAAGGGCCAUCGCUCAACGGAUAAAAGCUACCCCGGGGAUAACAGGCUUAUCUCCCCCAAGAGUCCACAUCGACGGGGAGGUUUGGCACCUCGAUGUCGGCUCGUCGCAUCCUGGGGCUGUAGUCGGUCCCAAGGGUUGGGCUGUUCGCCCAUUAAAGCGGCACGCGAGCUGGGUUCAGAACGUCGUGAGACAGUUCGGUCCCUAUCCGUCGCGGGCGCAGGAAAUUUGAGAGGAGCUGUCCUUAGUACGAGAGGACCGGGAUGGACACACCGCUGGUGUACCAGUUGUUCCGCCAGGAGCAUCGCUGGGUAGCUAUGUGUGGCAGGGAUAAACGCUGAAAGCAUCUAAGCGUGAAGCCCCCCUCAAGAUGAGAUUUCCCAUUUCUUCGGAAAGUAAGAUCCCUGAAAGAUGAUCAGGUAGAUAGGUUUGGAGUGGAAGUGUAGCGAUACAUGGAGCGGACAAAUACUAAUCGAUCGAGGACUUAACCAAAA